GAUGAACGCUGGCGGCGUGCCUAAUACAUGCAAGUCGAGCGAACAGACGAGGAGCUUGCUCCUCUGACGUUAGCGGCGGACGGGUGAGUAACACGUGGAUAACCUACCUAUAAGACUGGGAUAACUUCGGGAAACCGGAGCUAAUACCGGAUAAUAUAUUGAACCGCAUGGUUCAAUAGUGAAAGACGGUUUUGCUGUCACUUAUAGAUGGAUCCGCGCUGCAUUAGCUAGUUGGUAAGGUAACGGCUUACCAAGGCAACGAUGCGUAGCCGACCUGAGAGGGUGUUCGGCCACACUGGAACUGAGACACGGCCCAGACCCCUACGGGAGGCAGCAGUAGGGAAUCUUCCGCAAUGGGCGAAAGCCUGACGGAGCAACGCCGCGUGAGUGAUGAAGGUCUUCGGUUCGUAAACCUCUGUUAUUAGGGAAGAACAAAUGUGUAAGUAACGAUGCACGUCUUGACGGUACCUAAUCAGAAAGCCACGGCUACUACGUG
rnacentral:rRNA from 1 species